CCUUGAAUAGUAUAAUUAAUUACUUCAUUUUUUCGAGAUGAUAAUGUUGUAAAACUUCAAGUG
rnacentral:tRNA from 1 species